AUUGAACGCUGGCGGCGUGCUUAACACAUGCAAGUCGAACGGUAAGGCCCUUCGGGGUACACGAGUGGCGAACGGGUGAGUAACACGUGGGUGAUCUGCCCUGCACUUCGGGAUAAGCCUGGGAAACUGGGUCUAAUACCGGAUAGGACCCUGGGAUGCAUGUCCUGGGGUGGAAAGCUUUUGCGGUGUGGGAUGGGCCCGCGGCCUAUCAGCUUGUUGGUGGGGUGAUGGCCUACCAAGGCGACGACGGGUAGCCGGCCUGAGAGGGUGACCGGCCACACUGGGACUGAGAUACGGCCCAGACUCCUACGGGAGGCAGCAGUGGGGAAUAUUGCACAAUGGGCGCAAGCCUGAUGCAGCGACGCCGCGUGAGGGAUGACGGCCUUCGGGUUGUAAACCUCUUUCAGCACCGACGAAGCGCAAGUGACGGUAGGUGCAGAAGAAGGGCCGGCCAACUACGUGCCAGCAGCCGCAGUAA
rnacentral:rRNA from 1 species